rnacentral:lncRNA from 1 species
GCUUAGUGGGCUUUUGAGAGAGGUCCAAGUUUAAGAUUUUUUCUAUUAUAUUAUAUUUAUUUAUUUAAUUUUAUUUUUAUUUUAUUUUUUUCGUUAUUUUUUUUCAUUAUUUUUUUUUCUUUUUCGUUUUUUUAUUUAAAAUAAAGCUUAUUCUGAUUGACAUGAUGAAAUGCAAUAUGAAAUGUUAAAUGACCUAAAAAUGAAUGCAUGAAUGAG